rnacentral:lncRNA from 1 species
AUGGAAAUGUGCAUUUUCCAUGGUGUGGAUGGCUGGGUGAGGGCAUCCAGACACCCCCAGAGGCAGAGCAGACCCUGCUGGAAUGGGGUGAUCUCUCCUGGGAAUCUCACAGCUUUACAUCCAGGCCAGAUGCCCCAGGAUCCUGACUUUGCCCCUGCCAGAGCAGCAUUCCCUUCCCAUCCCGUGUGGCUGCAGGGAGUGCCAGCAGUGCCAGCCUGUUGUCCUACUCCAGCAGGAUUAAAUCCUCCACUGGAAUGGCAGAAAAUGUCAUCCUGGACCCCAACAACUUCAACAGGGAGUUUUGCCAGGCUUGGCCAUAAAGGACAAGCCACGCCAUCCUGGAUUAAAGUCUUUAAUCAUGCUGGUUAUCAGAAAGGUGCUUCUCUUCACCAUUAUGUUCCCUUGAAGCUGUAAGAAUAUCAGUGUCCUGGUAAUACUAUUGAGCCACUAAAAUUUGCUUUUUCUCAGACCUGCUUGGAGCACAUCCCUGCAAAGGCUGGGGUGCCCUGGGGCACUGCUGGGGAGCACCAGCCAGGCAGAGCCCAGCAGCACCACCACCAAAACCUGCUGUUCUUACUGGAUUGUACCAAACCCAUGUGUUCACUUGUAUCUUUUAUAACAAAUAAAUAUAUUCUCACCUUGCCCUCUGUGGUAGAG